rnacentral:rRNA from 1 species
AUUGAACGCUGGCGGCAGGCUUAACACAUGCAAGUCGAACGAGUGGCGGACGGGUGAGUAAUGCUUGGGAAUCUGGCUUAUGGAGGGGGAUAACGACGGGAAACCGUCGCUAAUACCGCGUACCAUAGGUUGAGCCCUAGGGGGAUUAGGUAGUUGGGGGGGUAAAGGCCUACCAAGAUGACGAUCUCUAGCUGGUCUGCGAGGCUGACCACACACACGGGGACUGAGGCAGGGCCCGGACUCCUACGGUGGGCAGCAGUUGGUAAUAUUGCGCAAUGGGGCAGACCCUGAUGCAGCCAUGCCGCGUGAAUGAAGAAGGCCUUCGGGUUGUAAAAUUCUUAAGGUAUUGAGGCGUUAAAUACAGAAGAAGCACCGGCUAACUCCGUGCCAGCAGCCGCGGUAAUAC